CAGACGGCUCUCUGGACCGUAACUGACGCUGAAACACGAAAGCGUGGGUAGCAAACAGGAUUAGAUACCCUGGUAGUCCACGCCCUAAACGAUGCAUAUUUGGUGUAGGUCAUUCAGUUGAUCUGUGCCGGAGCUAACGCGUUAAAUAUGCCGCCUGGGGAGUACAGUCGCAAGGCUGAAACUCAAAGGAAUUGACGGGGGCCCGCACAAGCGGUGGAGCAUGUGGUUCAAUUCGACGCAACGCGAAGAACCUUACCUGGGCUCGAACGGCUGGUCAACGGCGGUGGAAACAUCGCUACUCCGCAAGGGGGUCCAGUCGAGGUGCUGCAUGGCUGUCGUCAGCUCGUGUCGUGAGAUGUUGGGUUAAGUCCCGCAACGAGCGCAACCCUUGUCCUGUGUUGCCACAUCGGAAGAUAGCACUCGCAGGAGACCGCCAGCGAUAAGCUGGAGGAAGGUGGGGAUGAUGUCAAGUCAUCAUGGCCUUUAUGUCCAGGGCUACACACGUGCUACAAUGGCCGGUACAAAGCGCUGCAAACCCGCGAGGGGGAGCCAAUCGCAAAAAACCGGUCUCAGUUCGGAUCGCAGGCUGCAACUCGCCUGCGUGAAGCUGGAAUCGCUAGUAAUGGCGUAUCAGAACGAUGCCGUGAAUACGUUCCCGGGCCUUGUACACACCGCCCGUCACAUCACGAAAGUGGAUUGUACUAGAAGUCUGCAUGCUAACCGCAAGGAGGCAGCGGCCCAAGGUAUGAUUCAUGAUUGGGGUGAAGUCGUAACAAGGUAGCCGUAGGAGAACCUGCGGCUGGAUCACCUCCUUA
rnacentral:rRNA from 1 species